CGGGUAUAAAAGUUGUGAUGCGAACGAAGGGUCUCACACGUCCUUCCUCGUUUUUAACCUAAAUUUUUUAAUUUGCUAUUUGACCUUCAGUCAUCAACUGUCAUAAAUUUGAACCAACAUAUCAAGCGUUUAUCCACCACGAAUAACUUGGGGACUUCCAAUUAUAGUUGAGCUUCAACCAAAAUGGCAAAAAUGGGUAGGUUAUGAGAAAAAUCCACCAGUAAUUAGAACCACGAGCUAUUGCCAAUGCAAUAAAAUGGUCGGAUCUAAUUUCUGGAUAAUUCUCAUUUGUGAGCGUUCUAAUUUUUGAGAAUAUGCUGUAUUCGUGUCUGCUCUUAGUACUCGAAGCAAGUAUUUUGAGGUUUUGUGUAUUGGAUAAACGAAAAUCUAAAUUAUAAAACAAUUAAAGGCGGUCAACGGCAACUUGAACGAGUGCUCUCUCCUGUGAACGUCGGUAAAGAAUGGCUAAUUAACGUAAUUAAUUUUCACAUACCUCAAAACUUAAUGCAUUUAAACCAAAUAGAAUAGAGAGACGAGAACGUGAGUGAUGUGAGCCUUGUAUAGUAAGG
rnacentral:lncRNA from 1 species